UCUUCCAAGGCUCAUUGAGCACUGACCCCAGCUCUGCUCAUGCCCCACACAGGUCACCCUCUGGGUAGCCCACUGUGUGGAUUCCAUGAAGCAUGCCCUUCUCCCACACAGUCAUCAGCAGUAUCAAUGACCUCCCUCUUCCCAGCUCCAUCAAAGCCAGCCCUGGAAUUAUUAAAGAAAGUCUGACUCCAAGGCAGCCUUUUCUUUCCUCUGCUGAGUGAUUUUCAUUCCUUACAAGAGGAGUUAUCUACAAGCAACAUCGUUCCUGAGGCCAACUGGUCCUCAGUGUCACUUGAGCAUCUGCUGUAUUGUCCUCCUCCUGUGUGGGUCACCGUUGUUGUCUGUCUCUGCAGUCACCAUGGUCUCCUGUCUGAACAGCCCCUCCACCUGGAGCUCUUUGUUUUCCAACUCAGCCACUGUUGACAGCAUAGGCACCUUUGUCUGACACCAUCCAAGCCUUCUUCCACUUGCAGUGUUGUGCUGAAAAAUGAUGUUUCCCCCAGACACCAGACUAUGUUGUUGGUCACCUUCAGUGAGAGAGCUCAGAAGUGAGACAUGUUGUGGCAACCAGCCAGGGAGCUUACAUCUGGGGGUUGCUUGUGAUCAGGAAAUGGGAACUUUACAACCAGAGACAACUGACACUGUCUUCUGAUUCCAACCCUGUGCCCUGGAAACUCUGAACCCUGGCUAUCCAAGCAUGGAGACAGAGGGACCUGAUGAUACGGGCAUAUUCUACCCUUCCAGCGAUAAGAGAAAAACCAGCAUGAUACCUGGUGGGAGAGCUCUGCAAGCUGCUGGAGGUUCCCAUAAUGGCACCAAUGUUUUAAUAUGAAUGAGUGUUGAAUCUGCUUCAUUUACAGCAUUUCUGUCUUCCAUGGGGAAAAAAAUAAGACCAAGAUGACAUUUAAGUUUCCACGUGGGUACCGACAGAAACAGAUCGAUAAUGGUAGAGGACCUGAGGCUCUGCCGCAGCUGUGGCUGGAAUGCUCACGGGUCAUUGCUACAGACAGCAAAGGGAGAUGACAGGCAUUAUGCCAUGUGUCACCGUCCCCCAGGAGGACUUUAUCUUAUUAAUGGAUUUAAGAGUGAAUUUUCUCUUUUCCCAUAUGUCAAUUAUAUAAGAAAUUAACCUUAUAAAAGCAAGAUAUAUAUUCAAAAAUUUAAAGAAAUUUAGGAAAUAUAUUUUUCCAUAUUUACAUGUGCCUUAAACAUUUCAGUAAAGAUCCUAUACCACCUUUUUUGGGUUUUUUUGGUACCGGGGAUCGAACUUGGGUCCUUGCACUUGCGAGGCAGGCGGCGCAACCACUGAGCUAAAUCCCCAGCCACUUAUACCACCUUUUUCUCCCCUCUGACAUGUGCCCUUUCUAAGUCUGUAUUUUUUCCCCAAGAUUUGAAAAGGGAACAUGAAUCCCACUGGGAUUAUAGACCAAAAUGGAUUUAACUAAUUCCAUGUUAUUGGCUAUUUGGGUUGUUGACAAGUUUCCUUCGUUACAAACAUUUUCAUAUGCAUUUUUAUAGCUAGGUCUCUGAGCUCACUCACGAUUGUCUACUCGGAACGGGGAAGUUUAUGUUUACCUUGGAAAUGUAGGACAUGGCUAUUUCCCCUUUCUACUUUCACUUUCCAUUUGUACAGUUAAUAUGUGUUAAUAACCACAAUUACCUUGGCCUUGACAAUGGGACAGAAUAACAGCAGGGUGGCACCAAGAGUCUGGUCCUCACUGGCUGUGCCAGCUUAACGCCAGGCAAUGCCCAGGACCCUGAGUGAAUUGUGGACUAUCCCUGUCCAUUUGUUCAUUUUAAAAAUGAGGAAGAGCUGAGUGCAUGCCUGUACUCGUAGCCUAGCACUUUGGGAGGCUG